rnacentral:rRNA from 1 species
UACAGAGGGUGCGAGCGUUAAUCGGAAUUACUGGGCGUAAAGCGUGCGUAGACGGUUAUGUAAGUUAGGUGUGAAAGCCCCGGGCUCAACCUGGGAAUUGCAUUUAAGACUGCAUAGCUAGGGGUGCGGAAGAGGGAAGCGGAAUUUCCGGUGUAGCGGUGAAAUGCGUAGAUAUCGGAAGGAACAUCAGUGGCGAAAGCGGCUUCCUGGUCCAGCACCGACGUCAGGCACGAAAGCGUGGGGAGCAAACAGG